CCUACGUGAGGCAGCAGUGGGGAAUAUUGCGCAAUGGGCGAAAGCCUGACGCAGCGACGCCGCGUGAGGGAUGAAGGUCUUCGGAUCGUAAACCUCUGUCAGCAGGGAAGAACGGUCACUGUGCUAAUCAGCAGUGAAUUGACGGUACCUGCAAAGGAAGCACCGGCUAACUCCGUGCCAGCAGCCGCGGUAAUACGGAGGGUGCGAGCGUUAAUCGGAAUUACUGGGCGUAAAGCGCUCGUAGGCGGUAUGUCAAGUCAAGGGUGAAAUCCCCGCGCUCAACGUGGGAACUGCCUUUGAAACUGGCAAACUGGAGUGUGUGAGAGGAUAGUGGAAUUCCAGGUGUAGGAGUGAAAUCCGUAGAUAUCUGGAGGAACAUUAGUGGCGAAGGCGACUAUCUGGCACAUAACUGACGCUGAGGAGCGAAAGCGUGGGUAGCAAACAGGAUUAGAUACCCCAGUAGUC
rnacentral:rRNA from 1 species